rnacentral:rRNA from 1 species
UACGUAGGGUGCGAGCGUUGUCCGGAAUUAUUGGGCGUAAAGGGCUCGUAGGCGGUUUGUCGCGUCGGGAGUGAAAUCCACUGGCUUAACUGGUGGCUUGCUUUCGAUACGGGCAGACUGGAGGUAUGCAGGGGAGAACGGAAUUCCUGGUGUAGCGGUGAAAUGCGCAGAUAUCAGGAGGAACACCGGUGGCGAAGGCGGUUCUCUGGGCCUUACCUGACGCUGAGGUGCGAAAGCGUGGGGAGCAAACAGG